rnacentral:rRNA from 1 species
AACGAACGCUGGCGGCAGGCCUAACACAUGCAAGUCGAGCGAGGACUUCGUUCCUAUCGGCGGACGGGUGAGGAACGCGUGGGAACGUGCCCUUUGCUUCCGAAUAUCCCUGGGAAACUGGGAGUAAUACCGGAUGAGCCCUUUGAGGGGAAGAUUCAUCGGCGAAGGAUCGGCCCGCGUUGGAUUAUGUCGUUUGUGGGGUAAUGUCCUUCCAAGCCGCAGAUCCAUAGCGAGUUUGAGAGGAUGAGCAGUCACAAUUGGACUGAGACACGGCCCAGACUCAUACGGGAUGCAGCAGUGGGGAAUCUUAGAAAAUGGCGGAAACGCUGAUCUAGCCAUGCCGCGUGAGCGAUGAAGGCCUUAGGGGUGUAAAGCUAUUUCAGCUGGGAAGAUCAUGACGGUACCAGAAGAAGAAGCCCCGGCUAACUACGUG